rnacentral:rRNA from 1 species
AUCGAACGCUGGCGGCAGGCCUAACACAUGCAAGUCGAGCGAGCGGCGGACGGGUGAGUAAUGUCUGGGAACCCGCCGGCUGGAGGGCGAUAAAUACUGGAAACGGUAGGUAAUACCGCAUACCAUGAGAUGUGCCUAGAUGGGAUUAGCUAGUGUGUGGGGUAACGGCUCACCUAGGCGACGAUCCGUAGCUGGUCUGAGAGGGUGACCAGCCACACUGGAACUGAGACACGGUCCAUACUCCUACGGGAGGCAGCAGUGGGGAAUAUUGGACAAUGGGCGCAAGCCUGAUGGAGCCACGCCGCGUGUGUGAAGAAGGUCUUCGGGUUGUAAAGCACUGUCAGCGGGGAGGCGUUACCCAAAGAGGAAGCACCGGCUAACUCCGUGCCAGCAGCCGCGGUAAUAC